GACGAACGCUGGCGGCGUGCUUAACACAUGCAAGUCGAACGGUCCUGUUUUUGAAGCGCUUCGGCGUGGAGGGAGCGGGUUAGUGGCGCACGGGUGAGUAAUGCGCGAGGACCUGCCCGCGGGAGGGGGACAGCAGUUGGAAACGGCUGGUGAUACCCCGUAAGCCGGGAGGUAAAAGGGCGGAGACGCCCGCCUGCGGAUGGACUCGCGUCCUAUCAGCUAGUUGGUGAGGCAACGGCUCACCAAGGCGACGACGGGUAGCCGGCCUGAGAGGGUGUCCGGCCACACUGGAACUGAGACACGGUCCAGACUCCUACGGGAGGCAGCAGGUGGGGAAUUUUGGGCAAUGGGGGAGACCCUGACCCAGCGACGCCGCGUGAGGGACGAAGGCCCUUGGGUCGUAAACCUCUUUUUGCAGGGGAAGAAGAAGAUGACGGUACCUUGCGAACAAGUCCCGGCUAACUACGUG
rnacentral:rRNA from 1 species